rnacentral:rRNA from 1 species
AUUGAACGCUGGCGGCAGGCUUAACACAUGCAAGUCGAACGAGUGGCGGACGGGUGAGUAAUGCUUGGGAAUCUGGCUUAUGGAGGGGGAUAACUACGGGAAACUGUAGCUAAUACCGCGUACCAUAGGAUGAGCCCAGGUGGGAUUAGGUAGUUGGUGGGGUAAAGGCUCACCAAGGCGACGAUCCCUAGCUGGUCUGAGAGGAUGACCCGGCACACGGGGAAUGAGACCCGGGCCCGAACCCGACGGGAGGCAGCAGUGGGGAAUAUUUCGCAAUGGGGGGAACCUGACGCAGCAACGGCGGGUGAGUGAUGGCGGCCUUCGGGUUGUAAAGGUAUGUUAAUCGGGAGACGGUACCGGAAUAGAAAGCCACGGCUAACUCCGUGCCAGCAGCCGCGGUAAUAC